GGGCCCGUGGCUUAGCCUGGCAGAGCGCCGGUCUUAUAAACCGGAGGUCCUUGGUUCGAAUCCGAGCGGGCCCA
rnacentral:tRNA from 1 species